GUGCUCGCCAUUGCGGCGCGACAAGGUCUGUACGCACAGAGCAACGACAGCGUCUCAUCGGACACGCGCAACUGCUUUCGGGUGCUUGACACAGACAGAGACAGACUUUGGUUUGAUCGAGCUGGUGAACUGCUCGAUACGGGAGAGCCUGCCGGCACAAGACGCUUUCUUCUCGUCACGUGCUCGAUAGGAUAGCGCUCCUUCAAACAGGUUGAAGCGGUAUAGACGCAGCAACAAGCGCGCCAAAGAUCGAAAAGAUCCGUUCCAGAAGAAAAGCCCUUGUGCACAAAACACUUACUGCACGUUCCUGAACGCGCCACAAAAUUCACCGAACAACUCGCGUGUGAAAUGAAAAAGGGCCCCAGUGCAAUCUACACGGAAACUCGCAGGAGGUUGGUUGAGGAGCUUGAACAGGAGGUUUUCAGUACCGUCGAUAACGCCAAACGCCUCCGACGAAGUCUCGAGGUCCUCGUCGAAAUGCAUGUUUCCUUGGUACAAGUCGCGCGUAGCUGUGCGUUGCUUGCUCGGCCGCAGUCGCCGCUGCCACAUUCAUCAUCAUCGUCGUCGUCGUCGUCAUCGUCGUGCAAGACGCCUUCCCCAGCUCGUGUCGCAGCGUCGGAAGCGAGCAGCCUAUCAGCAACCCGCAGCAUUUAAGCCGUGUACAACCUUCCUCAAAGCUCCCGCUCUGCGUCUUGUCGCAUCAUGUCUAGCGAAAUUUCCAGGUUCCGAAGGAGAUCCUCUCUUCGCAUACCAAACUGCGCAAGCCAUGCAUCCAACUGCUUCAGGUAAAGCUGUGCCUGAAAGUCAGUACUGAGUUCAAAACGUUUCAGAAAUACUUUCCAGCGAUCGAAGACGGACUCCAUCUGCGCGAUAUACGCCAGCUUCCCUUCCCGGUCAAAAAGCUUAUAUUUCUGUCCAAGCCGCAGUAGCUCUGCGUGGUCACGCAUGAGCCGGUUGCCUUCUUCGAGCACCACGGGUGAGCCGAAAAUCCCGUCUCCACCGGGGCCCGCGCUGCGCCCACUCGCGAACGCAUCGCCGCCUCUACCCAAAAAACCUCCGUCCGAGUCGUUACCGGAACCGUCAUCGUCACGCUUACCACGCGAGCGCGGCGACCGGUACUGCCCACGAACGUGUGAUAAAGCGGCCGGCAGGCGGUGCGAAUUCUUACUUCGAUGCCAGCAGUGGCGGCGGUGCCUGCGCAGCCAAGUCGUUGCUCCAGUACUCUCAGGUGCCACAGCAGCCCGAACUGACGAGUUGGAAACAGGAAAAAUCGACCAAGCCAGAGUCUCAGCCAUAAGCACUAGCCUGAUACAAUGCCUGACAAAAGCACACGGUGGCUACACUCCAAGUCGACAACGGUGAACGGACGGAGAACUCCGUCUCCAGCGUUCAGAUGCAUGAUCCAUGCACGAUCCGACGACGGCGCUGACGGGAUUGUGCGCUCGGCGUAUCGCGCUGUACGGCGGCUGCGGAAGCGUCGCGCGCCUGACGCCGCCGCCAGCGCGAUACGCCGAUUGUUUUUCAUUACGAGAUGUUUACUUAGGCCAGCGUUCUCCGAUUGAGCGCAUUGUUCUUUUCUUACUUUUUUGUGUUAUUUUUUCAGUGCGCGAUAAGGCAUCUAUAAAACCCCCUCCC
rnacentral:misc_RNA from 1 species